GUCUACGGCCAUGACACCCUGAACAAGCCCGAUCCCAUCUGAUCUCGGAAGCUAAGCAGGGUUGGGCCUGGUUAGUACUUGGAUGGGAGACCACCUGGGAAGACCAGGUGCUGUAGGCU
rnacentral:rRNA from 1 species